ACAUCUGCACAUGAGCGUGAUGCAGGCUAUCGUUGAUCUUGUUUAAGGAUCGACUUUAGUCAUCGAUGACCGUUCACCACGAGAGCUCGUCUCAAUGUGGUAGGGUGUGGAUGUGAUCUGA
rnacentral:snoRNA from 2 species